AUAGCACCAGGCUAGCUGGCAGUAGGUUUAGGAGGUGGUGUAACUCAUAGCUAUCAUCCAGGCCACCUCCAGCUGCAGCCAGCAUGGAGGUAGACACCGCAUUCCCUGCACUACCUCCCUCGUGCACUGCCAAACCGGUGGGACACCGGCUCCGACCACCUCCAUCUGGAGCAUCUUUUGUGGGCGGUAAAGCUGGGACGGUGACACGAUGCUGCUUUUCCAUGUAGGGAAGUGCUGGGUUAGCGGCCGCUGCUGAGGUGCAAGAAGAAGACGUCUAAGAAAGACUAAUGCCAUUAGGUGAGCAGCCAUGAGACGGAGCCUCGCCGACAGGAAUAGCAGCAAGCCAGCUUUAUCUAGGCUGAAAGACAACAGUCAGUACAUCAGAGUCCGUUUAAAUCUUCCAGAGCAGCUUGACCACGGAUGGCUUUCUUCCAGGCACCCACAGAGAUGACGAAGCUCCAAAAACAAAUCAAAGAGAAAAAACAAAACAAAA